rnacentral:tRNA from 1 species
GCCUGUUUAGCUCAGUGGUAGAGCGUUGCACUUGUAUACAACCAUUUUAUGCAAAGGUCACUUGUUCGAUCCAGGUAAUAGGCA